GGUCGGAUUCCGAACUAGGUCGGGUUUUGACCCAUGAGCACUCAUCUUCCCUUCAAAUUCUAGGGCCAGACUCAUCACAUGAUAUACACUCCCUGGUUUAUGUAUGCGCACAUCAGAAUGCAACUCGGCCUUCAAGCCGCUUAAGAAAACACUGAAGAAAUAAUGCUCUAGCCAAUUUUUUACUCUGGUCGAAUGUUUAGAGAACUCUUGCUGGUAUUCUUGCACGGAGCCGAUUUGUCUGAUGCUGCAGAGAUGUUCAUUAGGAUUCUGGUAUUUAGGUGGACCAUAGUUUUCUUGUGGCACAGUCACCAAUUCUUCCCAAUAUAACAAGUUAAUUCGUCUUCGCCGGUCAUCUAAGGCCUCUACUUUUUUGUGAAGCAAGUCAAGCUUCUCAAUUCGUGAUGCAAUAGUAGCCAAAUGGUCUGGUGUAGUUUGGCUGAGAUUUUCUGAAUUUUCGAUAUCUGAAGGUGUGUUGUUGGAUAAGUGGGCAAGAGGGCUGACAGAUUCAUUCCCAAUGCGUGUGGUAACCAUGGUUAACUAGACUUUGAUGUUAAAUUAAUAGUGCUCAAAAUAAUAAUAAAAAAAUAAUAAUAAAAUAAAUUUCUUAAAAUAAUAUAGAAUAAAAAUUUUAUCCUAUAUUUUUUUCAAUAAUCAUCUUUAGAAGUUUAAGGAAUUAUUUUAUUUGAAUUGUUAGUUAUAUUUAUAAAGAUAAAUAUAAAUAAAAUUUAGAUAAUUAAAUAAUGAAAGAUUAAAUAAAAUUUAAAUUUAAAUAAGAUUUAAAUUUAAAUAAAAACUAAAUAUUUAAAUGAAAUCUCUUAACAAAUAAAUUUUUUUAAAUAAUAUUCAAACAAAAUAAUAAAAUUUAAUUUAGUUUAUCUUUUAUUAUUAUUUUUUGAAUAAGUUUUUAAGAGAAUAUUAUCAAAAACACUGGAUCUAGUAAGUCGGUCCACUGUUCACUGAUUCCUCAAGUACAGGUGUCAAUGUGCAUGUCACUCCUCCAGUUCUUCGCUAUCAUAAGCGAAGCUUCUCUGAUCUGCUGGACGGUUCUGAUUCAACUUGUGAGUAUCCAAAUAAACGAUCUAACUUUGAUUUGGAUCUUCAUUCUGCGUCGUUGGAUCAUAAGCUUUCUUCACCGCAAGCACAGGUGUCUUCACGUGGAAAGGACCUCAUUUACUUAACUACGGCAGGCUUCAAGUUUUUCACUCCACUCUUUUAAUUCAGCAAUUACCCAUGUCUACACUUCAUAAUUGCUCUAUCAGUCCUUUCUUCCCAAAAGACCAAUUGUCCCGCUCAGUGACGAAUCCAAGGGGGCGCCAGCAGGGGCUGUGGCCUCCCCACCAUGUUUCAAAAUUUCGUUUGUAAAUGGUGAGUUAAUUUUUAUAAAAAAAAAUUGCUAAAAUCACCUUUAGGUCCCCACUUUUAAAUAAACUUUUAGUUAUAGCCCCCCAUAAAACAAUUUCUGGAUUAGUCCCUGGUCUCGCUACAUACCUCUUUCAGAGCAGACCCUGCUACUUUUAGUGCAUGAGUGGAGACGUCAUGAGGUAUUCUAGGCUCGUUGAGAUUUGGACAUUAUCGUUGAGCAUAAUACUUGCAUGCGCAGACAUCGAGUUCACAUUCACGGUCGUCAACGCCUUCGAGUUGGAUCAAGAUGCUUGUUAGAACCGCGUUUCACAUGGGCAAGCUGGUUUUAUGGCAUUCUUUGAAGUUAUGGUUCAUUAACCUGAACUGGGAAGCAAACGGACGUCAACAUUAUCCCCCUGUUCAGCAUUGUUUGAAUGGAUUUUGGCCAUUGCUUCCUCAUCUGCGCGCAAAGCCGCCAAGAAAUAGGCGCAGACCUCUCCUCAUCCAUAAUUUCUGGCAUGAAGCUCACAUUCGCGUUUUUCCAGUUGUAGGUCAUACAUACUAUGAUUUCAUGCAUGUGGAAGCUCUUGAUGGUGGACAUCCCAACUUAUCUCAUAUCACUUCCAAUGGUUUUAUUCAGCAUGCAGUUUCGGAUCCUCCUGUCCGUUCUCCUUCACCGUCAACAUCUUUACCUUAAGGUCUGGUUGAGCUUGGUUUUGUUUCAGCAUGUUUUCAUCAUCAAAGCUUAAGCGCAAGAUUGCUCUGCUCCAUUCUGAUGAAACAGAGGAAGCCGUUGCAACUGGGUUUUUCGAGGUUUUGGCCAAAACACCUCGUACCUUUGCAUGACUAACGUAGGGGCCUUCAUGGAUGCAGCAUCAUGGAGGUCCCACCAAAGGAACUGCAACUGUUAGGAAGUUAUAUUUUUACUUUCGUCUAGUUGGUCUGUCUGUUUUUGUUGUCGUCUGUUUGGUCGUCUAUUUUCGUUUGUCUGCUUUUAGUUCCUUCAUCUGGGUUUGUCUUCAUCUGGUUCAUGCACGUAAGUUUUUAAAAGUUCCAAAGCUUUUUGAUAGGCUUGGUCUUUCAAAUCCUACGGGAUAUUUUCCUGCAUCUUGAUCUUUUCUCUUUUUAGAGAUUUUUUCCAUGUGUUGCUUGCUAAUCCUUCAAAAAUGUCUUAUGGACCUACCUUCGGAUUGGAUGAACCUGGUUUGGGCAUAUCUAAUCAAGGAGCAGCUGUGUUUCUGGUUUAUUUGGUUUCAUUUUCUAAAGUUCCGUUUUUGUUGGUCCUCAUUAGUAAUACUUUUAGAUUGGGCUUUCA